ensembl:lncRNA
GCCCGGGGAGGGCGAGGAGACCCUACAUAGGGCCGGGUGCGGUGCAGCUGCUGCAAAAUGCAAUGGUGGUGGUCUGCGUGCUGGAUGCGGCAGCAGUGCUGCACUGCAUGGUGUUGGUAUACGUGCAGGGUGCAGCAGCGGUGCUGCUCCUCUCUGUGGUGGUGGCCUGCAUGCUGAGCACAGCAGUGGUGCUGCACUGCAUGGUGGUGGUCUGCAUGCUCAGCGCAGCAGUGGUGCUGCAUUGCACAGUGGUGGUGUGCAUGCUGGACGCGGCAGCAGUGCUGCACUGCACGGUGUUGGUGUACAUGCAGGGUGCAGCAACGGUGCUGCUCAUCUCAGUGGUGGUGGCCUGCAUGCUGAGCACAGCGGUGGUGCUGCAUUGCAUGGUGUUGGUCUGCAUGCUCGGUGCAGCAGUGGUGCAGCUCAUUUCUGUGGUGGUGGUCUGCAUGCUGGAUGCGGCAGCAGUGCUGCACGGCACGGUGUUGGUGUACAUGCAGGGUGCAGCAGCGGUGCUGCUCCUCUCUGUGGUGGUGGCCUGCAUGCUGAGCACAGCGGUGGUGCUGCACUGCAUGGUGGUGGUCUGCAUGCUUGGUGCAGCAGUGGUGCAGCUCAUUUCUGUGGUGGUGGUCUGCAUGCUGGAUGUGGCAGCAGUGCUGCACUGCACGGUGGUGGUGUACGUGCAGGGUGCAGCAGCGGUGCUGCGUUGCAUGGUGGUGGCCUGCAUGCUGAGCACAGCAGUGGUGCUGCAUUGCACGGUGGUGGUCUGCAUGCUCGGCGCAGCAGUGGUGCUGCAUUGCACAGUGGUGGUGUGCAUGCUGGAUGCAGCAGCAGUGCUGCACUGCAUGGUGUUGGUGUACAUGCAGGGUGCAGCAGCGGUGCUGCUCAUCUCUGUGGUGGUGGCCUGCAUGCUGAGCACAGCGGUGGUGCUGCAUUGCAUGGUGGUGGUCUGCAUGCUCGGCGCAGCAGUGGUGCAGCUCAUUUCUGUGGUGGUGGUCUGCAUGCUGGAUGCGGCAGCAGUGCUGCACUGCACGGUGGUGGUGUACGUGCAGGGUGCAGCAGCGGUGCUGCUCCUCUCUGUGGUGGUGGCCUGCAUGCUGAGCACAGCGGUGGUGCUGCACUGCAUGGUGGUGGUCUGCAUGCUCGGUGCAGCAGUGGUGCAGCUCAUUUCUGUGGUGGUGGUGUGCAUGCUGGAUGCGGCAGCAGUGCUGCACUGCACGGUGUUGGUGUACGUGCAGGGUGCAGCAGCGGUGCAGCUCAUUUCUGUGGUGGUGGCAUGCAUGCUGGGCUCAGCAGUGGUGCUGCAUUGCAGUGUUGGUCUGCAUGCUGGGCGCAGCAGCGGUGCUGCAUUGCAGUGCUGGUCUGCAUGCUGGGUGCAGUGGCAGUGCUGCUUUGCAAGGUGGUGGCCUGCAUGCUGGGCACAGCAGCGGUGCAGCUCAUUUCCAAGGUGAUGGUCUGCAUGCCGCCUGCAGCAGCAGUCCUGCAUUGCACAGUGGGGGUCUGCAUGCUGGGCGCAGCAGUGGUGCAGCUCAUUUCUGUGGUGGUGGCAUGCAUGCUGGGCGCAGCAGCAGUGCUGCAUUGCACAGUGGAGGUCUGCAUGCUGGGCGCAGCAGCGGUGCAGCUCAUUUCUGUGGCGGCGGCAUGCUUGUUGGGCACAUCAGCGGUGCUGCAUUGCAGUGUUGGUCUGUGUGCUGGGCGCAGCAGUGGUGCUGCUUUGCAGCUUUGGUCUGCAUGCUGGGCACAGUGGCAGCACUGUUUUGCAUGCUGGUGGUCUGCACGCUGGGCACAGCAGCGGUGCUGCUCAUUUUUAUGGUGGCACUGUGCAUGUGGCCUGCUGCAGCGGUGCUGCGUUGCAUGGUGGUGGCCUGCAUGUGGGGCACAGCAGUGGUGCAGCUCAUUUCUGUGGCGGCGGCAUGCUUGUUGGGCGCAUCAGCAGUGCUGCAUUGCAACGUAGGUCUGCAUGCUGGGCGCAGCAGCGGUGCAGCUCAUUUCUGUGGCGGCAGCAUGCUUGUUGGGCGCAGCAGCAGUGCUCCAUUGCAGCGUAUGUCUGCACGCUGGGCACAGCAGCGGUGCAGCUCAUUUCUGUGGUGGUGCCGUGCAUGCUGGGCGCAGCAGCAGUGCCGCAUUGCACGGCGGCAGCGGCGUUUGCGUCGCUCACAUCACAUCCCCCUGCAUCGCCCGCAUCCCUCCCGGUGCAUCGCAGCGAUGGGUUGGCCGGUGCUGCGCUGUUGCUGCGUGCCACGCACCCGGCCGCGGGCGGUGCAGCGGUGCAGCCGUUGCAGGCGGCGCGGCGGUGGC